CGAGCUGAGCGGGCACAGCUCAAUUUGUAAUCUGGCGCCUUCAGCGUCCGAGUUGUAAUCUCGAGAAGUGUUUUCCGCGCCGGACCGCGUACCAGUCUGCUUGGGACACAGGCGUCACGUGGUGGGGAAUCCCGUACUGAUGCGGAUGCCCGGUGCUUUGUGAUAUACUUUCCAAGAAUCGAGUUGUUUGGGUAU
rnacentral:rRNA from 1 species